UGGGGAAUUUUGGACAAUGGGCGAAAGCCUGAUCCAGCAAUGCCGCGUGUGUGAAGAAGGCCUUCGGGUUGUAAAGCACUUUUGUCCGGAAAGAAAUCCUUGGCUCUAAUACAGUCGGGGGAUGACGGUACCGGAAGAAUAAGCACCGGCUAACUACGUGCCAGCAGCCGCGGUAAUACGUAGGGUGCAAGCGUUAAUCGGAAUUACUGGGCGUAAAGCGUGCGCAGGCGGUUUGCUAAGACCGAUGUGAAAUCCCGGGCUCAACCUGGGAACUGCAUUGGUGACUGGGCAGGCUAGAGUAUGGCAGAGGGGGGUAGAAUUCCACGUGUAGCAGUGAAAUGCGUAGAGAUGUGGAGGAAUACCGAUGGCGAAGGCAGCCCCCUGGGCCAAUACUGACGCUCAUGCACGAAAGCGUGGGGAGCAAACAGGAUUAGAUACCCUGGUAGUCCACGCCCUAAACGAUGUCAACUAGUUGUUGGGGAUUCAUUUCC
rnacentral:rRNA from 1 species